rnacentral:lncRNA from 1 species
CCAUCAUGCGAAAGAGAACCAGCUGAACGAAGCAUAUUUCCAAGUUCAUCCAACAAAGAUGCCUUCAAUUGAGAUUUAAAAUAGAAAAGCCCCUUCCCAAGUUUCUGCUUCUACACUUUAUUGUUGUUUAAGAAUCAAUUAACAAGCAAAUAGGCAGAAUAUGCAAAAUUUGAAUAAAGUUUCCAAAACCAAAGAGCUAAUUGAAUAUACAAGACCAUAUCAAUACAUCCACAUUUAUUCAAACGUGACAUAAAUCAGUAUAGAUGAAGUGCAAAAUGAAGAUCUAAAUUUGACAACUAAAAGAAAACACUUGAAGCUUGACUCACCGACCAUGACCUCGAGCAGACACAAUCGAUAAAUUGACGAACAAAUCAACUCAGAUCAGGCGCGAUUUUGACCGGAGAACUUCGACAACAAACUGGAGGAUAACCUCGCUUCCAAACACUCCUCUGACCAACACUACUAGAGAAAAAAUCCAAGCCGAAAAUCGGAAGGAAUUAAACUCCAAAUUAAGGGAACAAAAAACCUGAAAAUCAGUGGGUUCAAUUUCGUUGCUGUUUUCUCCUAUGUUCCUCCCUUCGUUUCGCUACUACUUCCGCUGGUUCAACUUUUCUAUUUUUGUUUCAGUUUAGGCAAGGCUAGCGGCUGGUGAGAGGAAAUCGGUGAGUUUGGGUUGCUGCAGAUUCAAAAUGGCUGAAGCUUGUGAGGUCUUCGUCUAGGUCUGGAGAAGAUGAAGGUCGGGGGUGGGGGGUUGUUGGUUUCAGGGGUGAACAACGGGUUUGGGUGAGAGAUUUUCGGUUUGGUUGUUGAAUAAGAUCAAUGGGGAGGGACCUUUGAAGAAGAUGACGCGGGGAGAGGGAGGGNNN